rnacentral:rRNA from 1 species
CAGCUUGUUGGUGAGGUAAUGGCUCACCAAGGCGUCGACGGGUAGCCGGCCUGAGAGGGUGACCGGCCACACUGGGACUGAGACACGGCCCAGACUCCUACGGGAGGCAGCAGUGGGGAAUAUUGCACAAUGGGCGCAAGCCUGAUGCAGCAACGCCGCGUGAGGGAUGACGGCCUUCGGGUUGUAAACCUCUUUUAGCAGGGAAGAAGCGAAAGUGACGGUACCUGCAGAAAAAGCGCCGGCUAACUACGUGCCAGCAGCCGCGGUAAUACGUAGGGCGCAAGCGUUAUCCGGAAUUAUUGGGCGUAAAGAGCUCGUAGGCGGUUUGUCGCGUCUGCUGUGAAAUCCGGAGGCUCAACCUCCGGCCUGCAGUGGGUACGGGCAGACUAGAGUGCGGUAGGGGAGAUUGGAAUUCCUGGUGUAGCGGUGGAAUGCGCAGAUAUCAGGAGGAACACCGAUGGCGAAGGCAGAUCUCUGGGCCGUAACUGACGCUGAGGAGCGAAAGGGUGGGGAGCAAACAGGCUUAGAUACCCUGGUAGUCCACCCCGU